GUGUGCCCAGGUGUGCUCUCAGGUACUCCCAGGUGUGCACUGAGGUGCUCCCAGGUGCACUCAGGUGUGCCCAGGUGCAAUCUCAGUGUGCCCAGGUGUGCUCAGGGGUGCCCAGGUGUGAUGCCAGGUGCUCCCAGGUGUGUGCCCAGGUGUGAUCUCAGUGUGCCCAGGUGUGCUCAGGGGUGCCCAGCUGUGCCCAGGUGUGCCCAGGUGUGAUGCCAGGUGCUCCCAGGUGUGCACUCAGGUGUGCCCAGGUGUGAUCUCAGUGUGCCCAGGUGUGCUCAGGGGUGCCCAGGUGUGAUGCCAGGUGCUCCCAGGU